UACCUUACAGGGACAAAUUGAAGUCAGCUGACGUGGACAAAUACCUGACAGAAUGGAUACUGGACUACCUCACAAACCGGUUUGUGAGGGUCUGGGACUGCGUGUCGGGCACUCUGACCUGCAGUGUGGGAGCCCCACAGGGGACUGUCCUGGCCCCCUUACUCUUCACCCUUCUACACUGCAGACUUCCGACACAACUCAUCUGGCUGUGUUCUGCAGAAGUUCUGAGAUGACUCUGCAAUUAUUGGACCUACCACUGACGAUGAUGAUGCAGAGUACAGAGAACUGACACAAAACUUUGUGGACUGGUGUCAGCGUCUCUGAACCAGACCCCUUUACCUGGCUUGAAGGAGCACGGUGCUUCUCUGAACCUUCCAGUACUGAUGGACACAUAUCUGCAUUCUGUACCAGGACUGAAUCGUUACAGCUGCAGAGGAUCUUGUGGUCAUUUUCCUCUUGUACCACUUCUUGAAUGUGACUUGUAUCAAAACACUUUGUUUUUUAAUAGACUUUUUUAUGAUUUGCAUACAAAUAAAAUUAUUUGCAACAGCAAAACGACAGGUAAAAUAAAUUAGUGUGGAACAGAGCUUUCAUGACAAAAGUCUCAAACAGGUGAGUUCCAUCAGCAGUACUAUUUGCUGUUGCUCCUUGAGAAAAAAAACUUGUUCUUGCGCUACUAACAAUUUCCCGCAAAUGAAACAUUUCACUGCAAGCGGACACCUUGACUCAAGUGCAAUUCAGUAAUUCCUAAAGCUACAGCGACACCUGCUGGGUAACGGGAGGAACUACUUCUAACUUUCAAAGACAAGUUUAGCCUUGAUCUUAGUUUAGUGCGUUGCACUUGUGUUGAAGUUAAUACCAUGUCCUCAAUACUUGGAGUUUUAACCUUUAUCCAGUAUAAAGGCAAAUAAACUUAUCUUUCCUGUGUAAACUGAUAUCUGAUCAUUAUUUUCUUUCAAAUAUCAAUAUUUGAUUCAAAGUCCACCACCAGGACUUGCUGUCGAAUGACGAGAAGAAAGCACUAAUGCAGCAGAGUGGUAAGAAGCACCGUGGCUUAACUGUAUUUGUAUAAUGAUUUAUGUAGCAGUAUUAGUAUUAAUCUCAUAGUAACUGUAAGAGAUUUGAUUAUUUGUUAAUAUUGUUUUCUCUCUUAGCUCAAUAAAAUCUUCCAUGUUUUCCAAUCCACCUAAAAUGAGUGGACGAUUUGUGCACACUAUAGGUUCGUCUGGCCAGACAAUAAAAGAAAAACUUACUGUUCCUCUGUCUUGCACAACAUCGGACGGCAAGACACUCAAACAUUCUUUUUUGCUUUCAAACUUAUGCCCAGUUAAUCUAUUAGGAAGAGAUCUCGUGUAGUUUAGGUGCUACAGUAGAGACACAAUGAAAAACAGGAGGUAGAGCACUGACUGAAAUGAUGACCAGUAAACAUAUAUAAUGUCCUUACCUUUCCAUUGCUGUUUGCUCCAGAUCGAUGCCUCCAAACUCAAACUCCAGGAUUAGGAAUAUUUGAUCCUUUUGAAAAAAAUCUAUGCCAAGAGUGACAAUAGCAUUAAUUAAAGGAACAAAAGCACCAAAAGAUUGUUUGUGUCAUGUCUGAAAGUAUACUAUAUGCAUUUUGUUAUUUUAGAAUUAUAACAUUAAUAUAAUAAGCAAAUGUUAAUAAUCAUAAAAGAAACCUUUCUGUUCUCCCACUGACCUGGCCUGUCAUUCUCAGAACCUUUCUGUUGGUUGAAUCUGUCCCAAGCAUCUAGGAAAUCUAGAGGGUAGCAGCCUUGGACACAGUGGAGGCUGCAGCAGAACCAGGCCCAUUAAAAUGCAACUGGCUGAGACGCUGACACACAGUCGCAACAAAACGGAAUCGCUCUCACCGAGGUUGGAUUUUGAGUUCGUUGGAUCUCGUCAGAGGCGAUCCAGACGGGUGAGCAGUCCUCCCACUCAGAACAGCUGUAGAGGUUUGGAGGCUGAGCGAACCUAGUCCUCAGGACCGCCGUCCCUGAUCACGCCGUCCAGACGACCUGCCGCGAGAUCCUGUUCGUAGACGCCAAUUUCUGUGGUGGAAAUUUUGCAAUAAAGGCAGAUGAGAAGAGAGUUGUCCUUUUGUGCGAUUUAUUGAAAUAAUAAAGAAAAUAACAAUAAUAAGGAAAGCAAAUAAAAAGCCAGCUGGGGAGAUCAGAACAUACACCACGGAGGUAUAAUGCAAAGAUCACCCCGUUCUGAGGUUGUCUCUGCCUUUUAACCUCUCUCCCGGGACCUGGUGGAAUCUUCCUAUCACACUGUGGGUGAAGAUGUUUACAUUACACAGGGUAUACACAAGGUCUACAGCCUUGGGUCUGGUGGGGCAUUAGAUAGAAAGGAGCCAGAGACCAGGGGUAAAAGGCAGACACAAGCCAUAAACAAUCGGUCAGUCAAACACAACAUUAGAUGUCAGCACUUAAUGUGCGACAGAACCUUGAGAGGAAGAUAGAUUGUUUGUCUAAUAAUGUUCAGUUCUGGGUCUAAUCAACAUGUACAGAAUGCAUGGUUAUUGUACAGAGUCAGAAAUGAACACAAGAGCAUUAAAGUACAAUUUUUCCAUUACAAUUCCCCCCUUUUGAUUACACAUUAAUCAAACAUUAAAAGAAUAAAAA